rnacentral:rRNA from 1 species
GAAAGACCCCGUGAACCUUUACUAUAGCUUGACACUGAACAUUGAGCCUUGAUGUGUAGGAUAGGUGGGAGGCUUUGAAGUGUGGACGCCAGUCUGCAUGGAGCCGACCUUGAAAUACCACCCUUUAAUGUUUGAUGUUCUAACGUGGACCCGUGAUCCGGGUUGCGGACAGUGUCUGGUGGGUAGUUUGACUGGGGCGGUCUCCUCCUAAAGAGUAACGGAGGAGCACGAAGGUUGGCUAAUCCUGGUCGGACAUCAGGAGGUUAGUGCAAUGGCAUAAGCCAGCUUGACUGCGAGCGUGACGGCGCGAGCAGGUGCGAAAGCAGGUCAUAGUGAUCCGGUGGUUCUGAAUGGAAGGGCCAUCGCUCAACGGAUAAAAGGUACUCCGGGGAUAACAGGCUGAUACCGCCCAAGAGUUCAUAUCGACGGCGGUGUUUGGCACCUCGAUGUCGGCUCAUCACAUCCUGGGGCUGAAGUAGGUCCCAAGGGUAUGGCUGUUCGCCAUUUAAAGUGGUACGCGAGCUGGGUUUAGAACGUCGUGAGACAGUUCGGUCCCUAUCUGCCGUGGGCGCUGGAGAACUGAGGGGGGCUGCUCCUAGUACGAGAGGACCGGAGUGGACGCAUCACUGGUGUUCGGGUUGUCAUGCCAAUGGCACU